rnacentral:rRNA from 1 species
UACGUAGGUGGCGAGCGUUGUCCGGAUUUACUGGGCGUAAAGAGCGCGUAGGCGGUCUGUCGCGUCGGAUGUGAAAGCCCGGGGCUUAACCCCGGGUCUGCAUUCGAUACGGGCAGACUAGAGUGUGGUAGGGGAGAUCGGAAUUCCUGGUGUAGCGGUGAAAUGCGCAGAUAUCAGGAGGAACACCGGUGGCGAAGGCGGAUCUCUGGGCCAUUACUGACGCUGAGGAGCGAAAGCGUGGGGAGCGAACAGG